rnacentral:rRNA from 1 species
UACGAAGGGGGCUAGCGUUGCUCGGAAUUACUGGGCGUAAAGCGCACGUAGGCGGAUUGUUAAGUCGGGGGUGAAAUCCUGGAGCUCAACUCCAGAACUGCCUUCGAUACUGGCGAUCUCGAGUUCGGGAGAGGUGAGUGGAACUGCGAGUGUAGAGGUGAAAUUCGUAGAUAUUCGCAAGAACACCAGUGGUGAAGGCGGCUCACUGGCCCGAUACUGACGCUGAGGUGCGAAAGCGUGGGGAGCAAACAGG